UACGUAGGGGGCAAGCGUUGUCCGGAUUUAUUGGGCGUAAAGAGCGUGUAGGCGGCUUUACAGGUCCGUUGUGAAAACUCGAGGCUCAACCUCGAGACGCCGGUGGAAACCGUAAAGCUAGAGUCCGGAAGAGGAGAGUGGAAUUCCUGGUGUAGCGGUGAAAUGCGCAGAUAUCAGGAAGAACACCAAUGGCGAAAGCAGCUUUCUGGGACGGUACUGACGCUGAGACGCGAAAGCGUGGGGAGCGAACAGG
rnacentral:rRNA from 1 species